rnacentral:snRNA from 1 species
GGUCAGGGCGAUCUGGCUGCGACAUCUCUCACCCCAUUGAUCGCCAGGGUUGAUUCGGCAGAUCUGGCUGGCUAGGAGGGUGUCCCCUUCCUCCCUCACCGCUCCAUGUGCGUCCCUCCCAAAGCUGCGCGCUCCGUUGAAGAGGACGACCUUCCCCAAUAGAAGGAAGACCGUCCUUUGGUCAAGGGUAUACGAGUAGCUGCGCUCCCCUGCUAGAACCUCCAAAAAGUCUGAGACAGUUUUCAAAAGAAUGUUUAAUGAAUAUGAUUCUAAAUAAAUAAGAUUAUUCAUUUUC